UCCUUGAGAGUCCUGAAGGAACGUUGAAGACGACGACGUUGAUAGGUCGGGUGUGUAAGCGCAGCGAUGCGUUGAGCUAACCGAUACUAAUGAACCGUGAGGCUUAACCUUACAACGCCGAAG
rnacentral:rRNA from 1 species